GAUGAACGCUAGCUACAGGCUUAACACAUGCAAGUCGAGGGGUAACGAGAGGAAAGCUUGCUUUCCUUGUCGACGACCGGCGCACGGGUGAGUAACGCGUAUCCAACCUGCCCCCAACUAGGGAAUAACCUUGCGAAAGUAAGACUAAUACCCUAUAAUUUCCUCAGAUGCCAUCUGACGAGGAAUAAAGAUUUAUUGGUUGUGGAUGGGGAUGCGUCUGAUUAGCUUGUUGGCGGGGUAACGGCCCACCAAGGCAACGAUCAGUAGGGGUUCUGAGAGGAAGGUCCCCCACAUUGGAACUGAGACACGGUCCAAACUCCUACGGGAGGCAGCAGUGAGGAAUAUUGGUCAAUGGGCGGAAGCCUGAACCAGCCAAGUAGCGUGCAGGAUGACGGCCCUAUGGGUUGUAAACUGCUUUUAUACAGGAAUAAAGUUAGCCACGUGUGGUUAUUUGUAGGUACUGUAUGAAUAAGGACCGGCUAAUUCCGUGCCAGCAGCCGCAGUAA
rnacentral:rRNA from 1 species